rfam:Hordeum vulgare subsp. vulgare, WGS project CAJW01000000 data, contig: morex_contig_49042
GUAGUACUUUCUGUGUCCCAAAAAUUUUGUCUUAGAUUUAUUUAAAAAUAAAUGUAUCAAAAUAUUAAAACGUGACUAGAUACAUUCAUAUCUAAACAAAUCUAAGACAAAAAAUUUGGGACAAAGGAAGUAUAUU